rnacentral:rRNA from 1 species
UACGGGGGGGGCAAGCGUUGUUCGGAAUUACUGGGCGUAAAGGGCUCGUAGGCGGCCAGCUAAGUCAGACGUGAAAUCCCUCGGCUUAACCGGGGAACUGCGUCUGAUACUGGAUGGCUUGAGGUUGGGAGAGGGAUGCGGAAUUCCAGGUGUAGCGGUGAAAUGCGUAGAUAUCUGGAGGAACACCGGUGGCGAAGGCGGCAUCCUGGACCAAUUCUGACGCUGAGGAGCGAAAGCCAGGGGAGCAAACGGG